GGGCGAUUAGCUCAGUUGGCUAGAGCGCCUCCUUUACACGGAGGAUGUCGGGGGUUCGAGUCCCUCAUCGCCCAC
rnacentral:tRNA from 1 species